rnacentral:misc_RNA from 1 species
UUUCAUUCUUUCCUCUGCAUUUCAUCUUUCUGAGCUGAGGAGUUCCAUUUUAUCUUUGUCGAGUCAAAACCAACCAACAAGUCUCAAGGCGAAAGGAGUUCAAAGCAGGCCAACAAGCUGAAGAUUGCGCAGAAGAGCUCAAAUUCGUUUAUUUCUUUUUAGGGAAAUUUUUCAAAAUGUCAAUAUUUUAGCAUUUAAGAGGGC